GGAAGAAGGGGGCACAUGGUCAGACCUCCCCAGAGAAGGUGAUGUGAGGCCAACGCUGAAGAUGCUGCUGCUCCUGCUGCUUCUGGGGCCCACAGGCUCUGGGCUUGGUGCUCAUGUCUCUCAACAUCCAAGCAGGGCCAUCUGUGAGAGUGGGACCUCUGUGAAGAUCGAGUGUCGCUUUGUGGACUUCCAGGCCUCAACUGCGUUUUGGUACCGUCAGUUCCCCAAACAGAGCUUCGUCCUGAUGGCAACCUCUAAUGUGGGAUCUGAGGGCACCUACGAACAAAGCUUUGUCAAGAAAAAGUUUCCCAUCAGUCACCCAAACCUCAACUUUGCAUCUCUGGAGGUGACCAGCGCACAUUCUACAGACAGUCAGAGACCUAGACAAGAAGGUUUGCAGCAGCCUGCCCCCCCCCGCACCCCCCCCCGCACACCCCCCCGCCCUGCACACACCCCAGGAGCCCUCUAG